CGCACAGCCUCCAUGACACGCGUGCGGGUGAAUCGCGAGGACUGCUCGGUGCAGGUAAAGGGAGACCUCAUCACGUUCCUCUACGCCACGGUGGUCAAGGACCCGCUUGUCGUAGCGGCACGCAACGUGACGCAGCUGCUGCGGUCUCGCAAGGAUGACACGGCCGCCAAGCUGGUGGCGGACGGCGAAUCGUACGUGCUGAAGUUCGAGUCUCUGCGGGACAGAGAAGGGUUCAUCGAAUCUAUCGUUCGCGCCCAGGAAGCGGAGCAGGCGCUGUCCAACGACGAAUGGGUGGCCUCCACCAUCUGCCACGCCGCCGUCGACGUCGGGGUCCUGGAUAAAGAAGAGCUCAACGCAAUCAUGAGUGCGGCGGGCCAGCGCGGAGUGGAGCAGGCCUUCGAUGCGCUGGAGACCCUCGUCGACCGAGAAACGUUUCAGCUGCUGCCCAUUACCGAGCAGAUGGAGAAUGACGUCUUGCGUCAAACUCCUGUGCUAGCGGCGAUCUUCCAGCAGCGAGUCGUGGACAAGGAGACGAAGAAGAGCUUCUGGGAGGCGGUGGUGCGCAAGUACUUCUGCUUCUCGCGUACCUUUCUAGAAGAGGACAUUCAGCGCCUGGAGGGUGCAAGGCCAGCGGCCACUGCCGCGCCUCCGCCUCCUCUGUCUGGAAGCGCCGCAACCUCGUCCCUCUCCGUUAUCAACGCCUCUUCAAUGUGUGCGCUGCCGAAGGGCGCUGCGAACGCCAUGCUGGACACAGACAUCAACGAGGAGGAUCUCCUUCACCUGGACGAGAACGUCGAGCCGCUGCUGCACAGCUUCCAUGGCCUCUUUGCGGCACACCGGCAUGCGCCCGUGGGCAGUGCGAGUGUGCUCCCCGUCAAUGGGGCUGUGCUGCCCUUCCCUCAAGAGACUGCAGAGUCGUCCCCUGUGUACCCGCCGCGCUUUGUCGGCCGCCGUGUGCUGCACCAGCUCCCCUCUGAAACCAUUGAGAAGGCUGCCUUGGAGACACUUCGCACGUUCUGGCGCAGCAGUGUGAAGCAGCGAAGAAGCAUCCUCGCCAAGUACACAAGGAGCAGCAAGAAGGGCGGCGGAGGUUUCAUUCAGCGUAUAUGUCUGGAGCAGGCAGACCGCGCAGUGCAGAACACCUAACGGCGCGAUGAGGGUGCGCUCAUGCCAUCGGCUUGUCGGGCUUUUGUUUUCCCCCAAUGCGAUGGUGUGGCUGCCGGCAAGAGCCUUUCAAGUAGGGCGAGAGCGCACGCGCCGGUGAGAACGUCGGCGGCACUCUACUCGCCACUGUAGCGCAGCGCAUGUCGCUGAAGCGGAAGAGAGGAGGGAGCAACACAAGGAAGCGAACGCGUGUAAACAAACGUGCACAAUGGCGCCUACUCGCACAAAGACGUGCGUGGGAAAAAAAAGGGACAGCGGGAACGCGAUGCGGUGUGAAAGACUACUCAACGCACCCCAGCCCACCCUGCUGCGCCACUGUCAAGCCAACGCACCCUGCCCCUCUCUCUCUUUCUGCGAAGAGAGAGACUGUGGAUUGGUAGCACGCGUCUCACAACAUGCGACUGUGGAGGGAGAGAGAGGGCAUCGCUUGUCACCGCUGUCCUCUUUCUGUUGUGUACCCUCCUUUUCUCCUCUCUCACUCAUCGGCCAGGCAGCACCCCACCGCCGCUGCUUUUCUCUUACUCGGUGACAUGGCUUAUCCUCCUUCCCAUCCCUUCCCUCCUCUCAAUACGUGGGCCCUCACAACUUUGACCGUAUGAGCAG
rnacentral:misc_RNA from 1 species